ensembl:Y_RNA Y_RNA Y RNA
GGCUGGUCUGAAGGUAGUGGAUUAUCUCAAUGGAUUGUUCAGUCAGUUACAGAUGGAAGUCCUUGUUCCCCUAUUCCCCUGCUUCUCACCACUGCACUAGACUAGUCUUAA